rnacentral:tRNA from 1 species
GUUAUUUUGGCAGAUUAGUGCGAUAGAUUUAGAAUCUUUAAAAGUGGGUAGUACCUAUAAAUAAUA